AAGGAUCAUUGAAUUUCCAAUCGUAUACACCCCGCGCACCAUAUUGUUGGCCCACUGUUGCCCCCUCGGGGGUGGCAAGUGUGUCGGUCCCUUGUUGGUGAAGGGUCUCCCCUCAUCGGGCAAUGGGAACGGCAGGGUCGGCUGUUUCGCUGCCGACCUAAGGGUCGAUGCAGUGACAGUCGGGUUGGUCUGUUUUUUUUCAACACUUGUUAUAUUAUGAAGCAAAUGGACAGCAGUAAUGCUGGCCCACACAAACAAAAACAACUCUCAACAACGGAUAUCUUGGCUCCC
rnacentral:misc_RNA from 1 species